AGGAGAAUGAACAAAGGGUAGUCAACUGUGUAGUGUCUGCAAGAGAUAACUCGCCCUGGGUCUAGGAGUUGGGGGGUUGCUCAGGGAAGGCUUUCUGUAGGAUGUGAUGCCAGAGAUGAGGUUUAAAGGCCAAGCAGGAGUUGCCCCAGUGAAGCAGGUGCAGUUACAGGCAUUCCAGGGACACGGGACAGCAGGAGGUCCUAAUUCAGCUCCUCUCCAGAUGUAAAUAAAGGCUGCUAAGAGGGACUGAACUCUGGCUCCCGGUGGAAGAGAAGAGUUCACAAGGGCACUGUCUGGCUUGCUGGCUUUGAAGAAGCAGGAUGCAUGUUGUGUGUUUCUGUAUCGAGAGGACCAUGCAGUAAGGAGCUAAGAAAUGCUUCCAGUGGACAUCCAGCUGAAGAGGCCUUCCAUCCAGUAGCCUGCAAGCAGCCGAAUGCCGCCACAUGAGCUUGGAAGCAGAUUCUCCCCCACUUGAACCCUAGACAGGAACCCAGCUGUGGCUAAAAUUUGCAGCCUUCAGGGAACCCAGUUAAGCU